UAAACAACUCAUCAAGUUGU
rnacentral:misc_RNA from 1 species